GCCCUUUGUCGCUAAGAUUCGA
rnacentral:sRNA from 1 species